AAAAGGUAUUUUUGGCCUUAUUUUAUUAUGGAACUUUAUUUUACAUGUAUAUUUAAGAGGAAAAAUAGUUUAAAUAAAAUUAUUAUUUUAUUCGCAGUAAGAAGAUUUAUAUAUUAAGGGAAUUUAGAUAUGGUAAAUGAUUUCAGUACAAACAAAGUUUGUGCCAGCAGUUGCGGUUAGACUAACUGUGCAAUAAAAAAUAUUUAGCAAAAGAGAAUAAGAUUUUAGAAUUUAAUAAUUAUAUUAUUAGGUGAAAUUUUUAAUGUUUAAUAAUUUUUUACUUUAAAUCUUAGAAGAUUUAUAAGUAGACUAGGAUUAGAUACCCUAUUAUUAGGAAAGUAGGUAAGGAUGCUUGAUUAGUAGUAGUUUAUUUUCUUGAAAAUUAAAAAAGUUGGCGGUAUUUUAGUCUAUUCAGAGGAACCUGUUCUGUAAUUGAUAGUCCACAAUUUUAUUUACUUAAUUUUUUAGCUUAUAUAUCGCCGUAGUUUGAAUAUUUUUAUAUAAUUUUUAAUGUUCAGGAUUUUAUUAGAGAGGAAUUCAGGUCAAGGUGUAGUUUAUAGUUAAGUAGAAAUGGGUUACAAUAAUUUUAUUUUAAUUGGAUGGUUUUUUGUAAUAAAAACUUGAAAUUGGAUUUGAGAGUAAUUAUUUAUAAAUUUAAAUGGUGAUUAUAGCUCUAAAAUAUGUACAUAUCGCCCGUCGCUUUCACUUUAAGGUGAAAUAAGUCGUAACAUAGUAGAUGUACCGGAAGGUGUCUCUAGAAAGAU
rnacentral:ncRNA from 1 species